AAAGAAACCAACAGGGAUUGCCCCAGUAACGGCGAGUGAAGCGGCAAGAGCUCAAAUUUGAAAGCUGGCUCCUUCGGGGUCCGCAUUGUAAUUUGCAGAGGAUGCUUCGGGAGCGGUCCCCAUCUAAGUGCCCUGGAACGGGACGUCAUAGAGGGUGAGAAUCCCGUAUGGGAUGGGGUGUCCGCGCCCGUGUGAAGCUCCUUCGACGAGUCGAGUUGUUUGGGAAUGCAGCUCUAAAUGGGUGGUAAAUUUCAUCUAAAGCUAAAUAUUGGCCGGAGACCGAUAGCGCACAAGUAGAGUGAUCGAAAGAUGAAAAGCACUUUGAAAAGAGAGUUAAAAAGCACGUGAAAUUGUUGAAAGGGAAGCGUUUGCGACCAGACUCGCUCGCGGGGUUCAGCCGGCAUUCGUGCCGGUGUACUUCCCCGCGGGCGGGCCAGCGUCGGUUUGGGCGGUCGGUCAAAGGCCCUCGGAAGGUAACGCCCCUAGGGGCGUCUUAUAGCCGAGGGUGCAAUGCGACCUGCCUAGACCGAGGAACGCGCUUCGGCUCGGACGCUGGCAUAAUGGUCGUAAGCGAC
rnacentral:rRNA from 1 species